AUGGACCACCCAGAACCAGGGGGCUCCGGCGGCCUACCUUACGAGGUGGGUUGCCCAACCUUUACCCGUGAGCUGCGGCAGUUCCAGUGGCCGUCCCACCGCACGUUCAAGCCCGACGUCAGCGAGAAGUACAACGGCAAGACCCAUCUGUCAGAGUUCCUCAGCAUCUACACCAUCGCGAUGCAAGGUGCCGGAGCUCGCAACGACAAGGUGCUUGCCAAUUACUUCCCGUUGGCACUGAAGCCCAACGUCAUGUCUUGGUUGAUGCACUUGCCGGCGGAUUCCAUUUCUUCCUGGUCAGAUCUGUGUCAUGAGUUCGUUGGUGCCUUCACCGGAGGCCACCAAGCUCAUGGCCAGGCCAGUGAUUUGCAUAUCAUUCCCCAUAAGGAAGGGGAAACCUUGCACAAGUACAUCCAAAGGUUCCGCCGGGUGCAGUACAACAUCCCCGAUGUUCAUCCCGUCGCCGUGAUUAGCGGGUUCCAUCAGAACAUGCGCAAUCGCAAGAUGCGCGAAGAGCUGGCAAUGAACAAGGUUAGGGAUGUGGCUGAACUUUAUGUUCUGGCCGAUAGGUGCGCCCGGGAUGAAGAGGGAAGGAAGUACCCCGGCGAGGACGCCGGUGUGGAAACCGACUCUACUGAUGAAGACACCACAGCCCCGACGAAGAAGGGCCGGCGUCGCAACAGGAAACGCAAGGGCAAGACCGUGCUUGUCGUCGAGGGAUCUGACGACACCGGCGCCGCCAAGAAGGCCAAGGCAGAUGACCCCGGCAAGGAGAUUGCUGGGUGCACCGCUUGCCGGGCCUUGGCAGCUGCCGAUAAGCCAGGGGUCUCGGACAAGCAGUAUUGCAAGAUCCACCGCACCAAGGGCCACGACCUCCAGAACUGCCGACAGGCCGAGCUGCUUGCCGAAAAGCAAAAGGCCGAGUAUGAGAGGCAGGACAAGGAGAAGGGUCAAGACGGUGCCGAAGGAUCUGGCAAGAAGUGUGGCGGCCAAGGAGGCCGCCGCAGCAAGCAUAGCCAGCAACAGAGGCCCGCUCAGGGCCGUGACAAGAAGCAAGAAGACGAUGAUCAUGACGAGGACGACGAGUCCAACGAGCAAGAGUUUCAGAAGGCUACGGAGGCCAUGUGCGUCGAUGGUGGCUCCUCGCUGCACACUUCUCACCGCCAGCUCAAGAAGUGGGCAUGCGAGAUCACAGCAGCGGAGCCAUCGUUCGAUGCUGAGAAGCCGCUGAAGUGGUCCAGCAUGCCCAUCAUCUUUGACGCCGAGGACCACCCUGAUCGCACCACUGCAGUCGGGUGUUUGCCAUUGUUGGUCUCACCAACGAUUCGCAACCUCAGGGUGAACAAGAUACUGGUUGACGGCGGGGCCGGUCUGAACUUAAUCUCGCCCGUUGUGAUCAAGAGGCUGCAAAUCCCCGACGAAGACCUCGACGAGACAGGCACGUUAUAA
rnacentral:rRNA from 1 species